GUGGGGAAUAUUGGACAAUGGGGGGAACCCUGAUCCAGCCAUGCCGCGUGUGUGAAGAAGGCCUUUUGGUUGUAAAGCACUUUAAGCGAGGAGGAGGCUACCGAGAUUAAUACUCUUGGAUAGUGGACGUUACUCGCAGAAUAAGCACCGGCUAACUCUGUGCCAGCAGCCGCGGUAAUACAGAGGGUGCAAGCGUUAAUCGGAUUUACUGGGCGUAAAGCGCGCGUAGGUGGCCAAUUAAGUCAAAUGUGAAAUCCCCGAGCUUAACUUGGGAAUUGCAUUCGAUACUGGUUGGCUAGAGUAUGGGAGAGGAUGGUAGAAUUCCAGGUGUAGCGGUGAAAUGCGUAGAGAUCUGGAGGAAUACCGAUGGCGAAGGCAGCCAUCUGGCCUAAUACUGACACUGAGGUGCGAAAGCAUGGGGAGCAAACAGGAUUAGAUACUCGAGUAGUCC
rnacentral:rRNA from 1 species